UUUAUUUUCUCUUUCCAUUAAAUGCCAUUGAUUUGCAAGUGCAAUGUUUGAUUGCAGCCAAGGGCUUUAACUGACUGUACUUGGUUUUCUUUCACCUUGCUCCUUUUCUUUUUUGAAGAUUGUUUAUUUGCUUGUUCCUCUGCGUGCUCUGAGCUUGCCUAGGCAUCUAAAAGUUUAUUUUAUGGCAUGUAGGAAAAGGGACAGAGGAAAUCUCACAGGUUUCCUUGAUGGAAUUUCCAACAAAUUCCCUACUGGGUUGGAAAGGUGCAGAGAUGGGCUCCUGGAGUCUGCAGGCUUUUUGGAUGUCCCCGCGGAGCCGGCGCUGCGGGGCGGCGGGAGCGGAGGGYCCCUCCGGCGCCCGCGGCUGCAGCCAGGCUCUGCGCGCGGCGGGACGUGGGGGUUCGAAUGCCUCGGUGGCCACCUGCGGCCUUAAUGGGGAGCUCGCUAGGGACAAGUCGGAAAAACGUGGAGCUGCUAAAAAUCCUUUCAAAGCUGCGUGUGGGAUUUGGUGUCUUUGCUCCUUUGGUAGAUACCGGGUGGCCGAAUCCCACCGGCAACUUCAGAGAUUGUGUCUUAGAAGCUUGUCUGGGUGCGCAUCCGAGAACGUCCUUGCUUUUCCUUGGACUCGGCAGUAGUCAACCUACUUGACUAGAUAUUCUAAAUCUGACCAUGCUGAAUCCAAAUGUUAUCUAAAAUGUUUUCCUUUAAAAUCAGAUCUGGUGAGCUCAAGGGGAUCAGAUUUAAAAUUCUUAGUAUCAGGCAAGCGCAUCCGAGAGGAAGGCAGCUUCAGGCUCCCAGAGACUGUCUGUAUCAGCAUUUCCCAGCCUUUUUUAAUGGAAGGAUCACCCAUCCUUUCUGGAAAAAAAAAUCCUGGACCGUUUCACAUACACAAAAGGGAGCYGCCUACACCUGCAGGCAGUCGCUGGCAGCAUCCAGGAACGGGCUCCCAACUCCGUCUGCCAGCACCGGCACACCUCUGCCAGCAGUGUGGGAAUGCCUGUGCACUUUCUUUUUUUCAUCUUUUAAAUGAGAUUGUUCAUGGACCAGUUUCUGGGUUUUGACAGAACAGCAGGGGUCUGCAGCCCACAGGCUGAGUAAUACUGAUCUAAACAGCCUGCAGUGGUUAGGGUGCCUUAACCGGGUCACAAUUCACUACUCUCAUACUGUUUUAUUAACUGUCAUCUGUCUUUAUCUAAAUUGAC
rnacentral:lncRNA from 1 species